GUGGGGAAUAUUGGACAAUGGGGGGAACCCUGAUCCAGCCAUGCCGCGUGUGUGAAGAAGGCCUUUUGGUUGUAAAGCACUUUAAGCGAGGAGGAGGCUACCGAGAUUAAUACUCUUGGAUAGUGGACGUUACUCGCAGAAUAAGCACCGGCUAACUCUGUGCCAGCAGCCGCGGUAAUACAGAGGGUGCAAGCGUUAAUCGGAUUUACUGGGCGUAAAGCGCGCGUAGGUGGCCAAUUAAGUCAAAUGUGAAAUCCCCGAGCUUAACUUGGGAAUUGCAUUCGAUACUGGUUGGCUAGAGUAUGGGAGAGGAUGGUAGAAUUCCAGGUGUAGCGGUGAAAUGCGUAGAGAUCUGGAGGAAUACCGAUGGCGAAGGCAGCCAUCUGGCCUAAUACUGACACUGAGGUGCGAAAGCAUGGGGAGCAAACAGGAUUAGAUACCCUUGUGGUCC
rnacentral:rRNA from 1 species